CUUGACCGAGCCGAGCCACAGCGGCUCGCCGUCCCGGUCUCGGCCGUAGGUGGCCAGCAGGGCCUGGGCCUC
rnacentral:antisense_RNA from 2 species